GAUUAUUUUUAAUUACCUUGAAAGUAAUACCCAUCGAAUAGAUAAUAAUCU
rnacentral:tRNA from 1 species